ensembl:miRNA
AUCGCCAGGGGAUCUUAUUAAAAUGCAGAUUCUGAUUCACCAGGCCCAAGCUUCUGCAUCUCUAACAAGCUCCCAGGUGAUGCUGAAGUUGCU